rnacentral:lncRNA from 1 species
CCGCGUGGGGCUGUGGGCCAGGCUGGUCCCUGUCCACUAUUUGCUCCCUUCUCACUCCGCAGGGUGGUCCUUACCAAGGCUGCCCCUGCCCUCCCUCCAGGCCCAGCAUCCAGGCUCAGCUCUUCCCCUGGCCCUGCUUCUUCCCACCACUGUCCUUUCCAUGGUCCUCUGGACACGCCCACAGGCGAGGCCGCAGCUUUCACUUUCCCCAUGAAGAGGACAGCUUCUUC